UAGUCGGGGAGCCACAAGGCUGAGAUCGCCCCCCACUGCCCUGCGGCAGCGGCGCGAGACCCGUAGAACCUGAUUCAGUUAGCACUGACGUAGGGAACUAUUUA
rnacentral:ncRNA from 1 species